GCACUUGCUCUGUGUCACAGUUCCUUUCUGUUCACUGUAAGGUUCCUUGAUUCCAUCUAUACACGGCAAAUGGAUACAACUUCUUUGCAAGGCAAUUCUUUUGACUCAUCUGCUCUCAACUUGCCUCUCAAGGUUUAAUCCUACUUGCUCUCCAGCCACCUGUACAGUAUUCCUACGAAAAGAGAGCAAAUACAAAUUUCUGUUACAAUGUAAAAUGUAAGCAGGAAAGAAAACUUUA